rnacentral:rRNA from 1 species
GACGUAGGAUGCGAGCGUUGUUCGGAUUUAUUGGGCGUAAAGCGUACGUAGGCGGCUUUUUAAGUCUGGUGUUAAAGCUAGGGGCUCAACCCCUGUGUUGCACUGGAGACUGGAAGGCUUGAGUGUGGUAGGGGAAGGUGGAAUUCCGAGUGUAGCGGUGAAAUGCGUAGAUAUUCGGAAGAACACCGGUGGCGAAAGCGACCUUCUGGGCCAUUACUGACGCUGAGGUACGAAAGCUUGGGGAGCGAACGGG